GUCUGUUUGUGAUGUGUGGAGCCAUCAUCUACACGGUGAUGGCUCCUGACGAAGGGGCGGGCACCUCCUACGGCUACGCCUACGUCUUGGCCUGGGUGGCUUUCCCUCUGUCCCUCAUCAGCGGCCUCAUCUACAUCAUCUUGAGGAAGAGGGAAUGAGAGUGGUGACGUAGAGAGGGGAUAGAGUGUCUGGGGUGGAUAUAGCAGACCCUAGCUCACCCAUAGUGCGCAAUCAAAUGGGUUAUUUUAUGAUAUCAGAGAACGCCGAUCGCGGUCGGCAACCUCUACUCUAUUUCCGCAAAACUGCAUUAAAGUCGGAACAUUGACGUCAUUGAUUGGGAAUUCGCGUUCUGUGACGGUCCGAAGCCGAAUUACGAUGCUAAUGAUCCAACUUUUCCGAGUUUUUUUUCGUGGAAACGCAGUAGAGGUUGCGUUCCGCGAUGGAGCGGAACUCUCCUAUAUAUAAAAAGUUUAAAGUUAAAAUACAGUUCAAAUAAAGUGCCUACUGCCCACAGACCAUCUAGACUAGCGUCCAAACAUCGGAGAACAAGUGCAAUGCAGUCGCUUCGUAGUAAAAUGCCAAUUGAGACGUCGGGUUGUCAUUAUUUUUGUAAACUAUCACUUGAUCCCAAAACAAAUUAUGCCGGAAAAAAAAAGAAAACAUGACAAACUCACAUCCAUGCCUCGUCUCAUUUGAAAGCCGUAUUCGUCCAUAGCAACACUGCGGGAAGUUUAAGGGUGUCCUCCAUAGCAACAGCGCGGGAUGUUGUAGGGUGUGGCCAUUUUUUAUUCGGUUUAAAACUGUGGAUCAUUCGCGUCGACCCCACCCUGCCUGACAACAUCACAGGAACCCAAAACAAACCCAAACAACUGCCAUGCCGCGGUGCAGAGAUGUACAUAGUGUCUGUGGUUUUUAGACAUAUUUAUAACAUUCUUUUUUUUACAUACCUUUUGUACAUAGUGUUUUCAAGUUAAUUCCAUAUUGCUCAUGACUGAUGGCUCAUGAAGACUCAUACAGCUGCACCAAAGAGAAAUACAGAUACAGCUGAAGUGUUAUGCUUUUCACUGGGAUUUAUUUCUAGUUUGCCCGCAGUCAUGUCAGAUUGUUACUCCCUUUGUAUACUGUGUCUUGACUUGGAAUAUCUGUGUUAAUGAAGGAAUAGGACAAUCCUCUACAUCCUCAGUGGAUGGGACGUGUUUAUAAACUAAUGAAGACAUUCUGAAAUAUCAUUCUAUUUUGAUGUGCCAAAUAGUUUUUUUUUGUAUUUCCAUAUUUUUGGUUUUCUAUGUUUUCUAGUUUUGGAAAAUGGUGCUUUCUAAAAAAACCUACCAUUCUUGAAUUGUAUAGCAUACUUUGUGUUUCAAUUUUAACAUUGUUAGUAACUCUCAUGAUGUGUGUUUGAAAUUCUUUGUACAAAUAAACAAUUUCUUUUUCAGUGUAAUUCUAAAUAAAACGUAUUAAGUAAA